rnacentral:lncRNA from 1 species
UUAUUAUUUAAAAUUCAAAAUUGGUUUUAUAAAAAUGAGUAAAAGUCACGAAUUCGAUGGUUUCGAUAAGCAAUAGUUGCUACCUAUCCCAAAUUACCAGAUCUAGUUAAGGUUGAUGAGAAUAUUUCAUAGUGACAAGACAUAUUAAUUCGUGCUCAGACAAUAUGCAAACAUCCUAUUGUUAAGUCAGAGGGUGUGUUAAAUUCUAUCAGGGAACAACAAUGAAAUAUCACUAAGGUAGACGUGAAAAAUGCUUCCAUCAAAAAUUUCGUAGAACCUCUCCAUUGGAGAUCAAAAACGACUAUUAAGCGAAUCUAUAGAAUAUGUUUUUAACCGGGUGUGGACAAAGUGAGAAUUCAGUUAAAGCCUACACCUAAUAAUUCUGUCUAAUUAAACGCAAUCGUUUUUCACCCAACCUAAAACACAGCAUAACUGCACAAUAGGUGACUAAUGGGUAUACGUGACUAUACGGAAACGGCACCAGUGUUGAAACUGAGGAGCUGGAGGUGAGACGGGGUCAUUGACGCUAGAGACUUAGCAGGAAUGAUGGGACGAAAUAAGAGGCUACUGCAGCUCUGUGGGCGUACCGCAAUACGAGGCGGUGAUUUGUACUCUACUCAAGGCCGCUAAGUUUAAAAUCUUGCAACUGCAAUAUUGCCGACAUUUAACAGUUCUGGUAAUGAUGUCCAUGAUUGCCAUCCUACCCAAAUGAUACUGCCAUUUUCUGCAAGAAUUUCGUCAGCCUGUGAUACCUCAGUCAGGAUCUCUCUCUGUCUCUCUCCCUCUUUCUCUCUUCUAAAGAGAGUUAUCAUCUUGAAUAGUCCAAUUACUCGCGUAUCAACUCUUCCCUCCAACUACUACCUGUUUAGGUAUCUUGCCUAUUUACCGGCCAUUUCGCUUUAUAUCAUAUUACAAAGCCAUUUUUUCAAUAAACUAUGAAUAAAAAAUAUCUAUA